UACGGAGGAUGCAAGCGUUAUCCGGAUUUACUGGGUGUAAAGGGAGCGCAGGCGGCACGGCAAGCCUGAUGUGAAAGCCCGCGGCCCAACCGCGGGACUGCAUUGGGAACUACCGGGCUGGAGUGCCGGAGAGGUAGGCGGAAUUCCUAGUGUAGCGGUGAAAUGCGUAGAUAUUAGGAGGAACACCAGUGGCGAAGGCGGCCUACUGGACGGUGACUGACGCUGAGGCUCGAAAGCGUGGGGAGCAAACAGG
rnacentral:rRNA from 1 species